GAUACAGUCACUAUAAGAAAUAAAGCUGAUAAUUAAAUAGUUCAAACAUCUCACAGCAUCGAUGAAAAAUAGAGUCAUAAAACAUCUAAGAAGUUUAGUUGAACUUGCUCAUUGGUAACUCCAGCCAUGUAAGGUUUAUACUAAGUUCAAAUGUAUUUAGAAAUGAAGCAUAAAACACAACAAAACGCGCUGAAGCCUAAAGCAGUAUCUGCUUGCAGCUCAGGAAAUACAAGUCAUAGAUGGAGGAUCUGAAACUCAAGCCACUAUCUUUGAGGAUCUUACAAACAGACUGUCAACAACCUUCCCCAUAUUUGAAAUGGUUUCCAAUGUAGCCGGGUAAAUGGCAUCUUGCUUAGGGUCCUCAAAAAUUACAAGGCAUCCAGCACCCUGGUCCAGAGUUCCAGCAAACUUCUUGUCUAAUAUCAUUUGAGAUAACUUCUUCUCAACAUGGUCAGCUGGCAACUCAAUCAACUCAGCAAUAUGAGCAAUCUCGACUCUUGAGAAAGGCUCGAUCAACCUGCAAAGAUUCUGCUCCAUUAAAGUGUCGUAGAGCGAAGAAAGGUGCCUAUGGACGAUAGGAUCUUCAUCUAGCUGAGCCUUAAAGUUGCGAAGAGCAGUCUCAAAUAGCUUCAAAGAUCGCUUGGAGUGAGC
rnacentral:misc_RNA from 1 species